rnacentral:rRNA from 1 species
AGCGAACGCUGGCGGCAGGCUUAACACAUGCAAGUCGAGCGGGCGUAGCAAUACGUCAGCGGCAGACGGGUGAGUAACGCGUGGGAACGUACCUUUUGGUUCGGAACAACACAGGGAAACUCGUGCUAAUACCGGAUAGGCCCUUACGGGGAAAGAUUUAUCGCCGAAAGAUCGGCCCGCGUCUGAUUAGCUAGUUGGUAGGGUAAUGGCCUACCAAGGCGACGAUCAGUAGCUAGUCUGAGAGGAUGAUCAGCCACAUUGGGACUGAGACACGGCCCAAACUCCUACGGGAGGCAGCAGUGGGGAAUAUUGGACAAUGGGCGCAAGCCUGAUCCAGCCAUGCCGCGUGAGUGAUGAAGGCCCUAGGGUUGUAAAGCUCUUUCACCGGUGAAGAUAAUGACGGUAACCGGAGAAGAAGCCCCGGCUAACUUCGUGCCAGCCGCCGCGGUAA